rnacentral:rRNA from 1 species
UACGUAGGGGGCAAGCGUUGUCCGGAAUUAUUGGGCGUAAAGCGCGUGUAGGCGGCUCGAUAAGUCUGCUGUGAAAGUCCAAGGCUCAACCUUGGAAUGCCGGUGGAUACUGUCGAGCUCGAGUCCGGAAGAGGCGAGUGGAAUUCCUGGUGUAGCGGUGAAAUGCGUAGAUAUUCGCAAGAACACCAGUGGCGAAGGCGGCUCACUGGCCCGGUACUGACGCUGAGGUGCGAAAGCGUGGGGAGCAAACAGG